rnacentral:rRNA from 1 species
GAGUGAACGCACCGCUGGUGUUCGGGUUGUCAUGCCAAUGGCACUGCCCGGUAGCUAAGUGCGGAAGAGAUAAGUGCUGAAAGCAUCUAAGCACGAAACUUGCCCCGAGAUGAGUUCUCCCUGACCCCUUGAGGGUCCUGAAGGGACGUUGAAGACGACGACGUUGAUAGGCCGGGUGUGUAAGCGCAGCGAUGCGUUGAGCUAACCGGUACUAAUGACCCGUGAGGCUUAACCUUACAACGCCAGAGGCGUUUUG